rnacentral:rRNA from 1 species
AUUGAACGCUGGCGGCAGGCCUAACACAUGCAAGUCGAGCGAGCGGCGGACGGGUGAGUAAUGUCUGGGAAACUGCCUGAUGGAGGGGGAUAACUACUGGAAACGGUAGCUAAUCCCGCAUACAAUCAGAUUGGCCAGGAGGGGUUUAGCUGGUAGGUGGGGUAAUGGCCCACCUAGGCGACGAUCCCUAGCUGGUCUGAGAGGAUGACCAGCCACACUGGAACUGAGACACGGUCCAGACUCCUACGGGAGGCAGCAGUGGGGAAUAUUGCACAAUGGGCGCAAGCCUGAUGCAGCCAUGCCGCGUGUGUGAAGAAGGCCUUCGGGUUGUAAAGCACUUUCAGCGGGGAGGCGUUACCCGCAGAAGAAGCACCGGCUAACUCCGUGCCAGCAGCCGCGGUAAUUC